rfam:Streptomyces sp. MMG1121 P433contig17.1, whole genome shotgun sequence.
CUUGACCGAGCCGAGCCACAGCGGCGCGUCCUCGUCGCGGUCCUGACCGUAGGUGGCCAGCAGGGCCUGCGCCUC